rnacentral:SRP_RNA from 1 species
GCCAGGCACGGUGGCCCAUGCCUGUAAUCCUAGCACUUUGGGAGGCUGAGGUGGGUGGAUCACCUGAGGUCAGGAGUUCGAGACCAGCCUGGCCAAUAUGGUGAAAACCUGUCUCUA